UAGGGAAUCUUCGGCAAUGGACGAAAGUCUGACCGAGCAACGCCGCGUGAGUGAAGAAGGUUUUCGGAUUGUAAAGCACUUUCGACGGGGACGAUGAUGACGGUACCCGUAGAAGAAGCCCCGGCUAACUUCGUGCCAG
rnacentral:rRNA from 1 species